rnacentral:rRNA from 1 species
GCGUUGAAAAGCUCGGGGAUGACUUGUGGGUAGCGGUGAAAUUCCAAUCGAGCCCGGAGAUAGCUGGUUCUCCCCGAAAUAGCUUUAGGGCUAGCCUCAAGGUGAGAGAUACGGAGGUAGAGCACUGAAUGUCCUAGGGGGUAUUGCACCUACCGAAGACUAUCAAACUCCGAAUGCCGUCAUCUUAUACUUGGGAGUCAGACUGUGGGUGAUAAGAUUCAUAGUCGAAAGGGCAACAGCCCAGAUCGUCAGCUAAGGUCCCUAAAUGUAAGUUAAGUGGUAAAGGAUGUGGGAUUGCACAGACAACCAGGAUGUUGGCUUAGAAGCAGCCACUCAUUCAAAGAGUGCGUAAUAGCUCACUGGUCGAGUGAUCCUGCGCCGAAGAUUUCCGGGGCUAAAACUUACUACCGAAGCUACGGCAUCAGUAAUGAGGGGUAGGGGAGCUUCCCAUACGGGUUGAAGCAUGACCGUAAGGACAUGUGGACAGUAUGGGAGUGAGAAUGUUGGCAUGAGUAGCGAGAUGUGGGUGGGAAUCCCACAGGCCGUAAACCCAAGGUUUCCAGGGGAAGGUUCGUCCACCCUGGGUUAGUCGGGACCUAAGCUGAGGCCGAAAGGCGUAGGUGAUGGACAACAGGUUGAUAUUCCUGUACUACCGAUAACCG